AGAGUUUGAUCAUUGGCUCAGGAUGAACGCUGGCGGCGUGCUUAACACAUGCAAGUUGAACGUGAGAUAGCAAUAUUUGAAAGUGGCAAACGGGUGAGUAACACGUGGGAACCUGCCUCGAAGUGGGGAUAACGAUUGGAAACGGUCGCUAAUACCGCACGGUUCUGCUCUGAUGGGAAUGGAGCAGAUAAAGAUUUAUCGCUUUGAGAGGGGCCCGCGGCCGAUUAGCUAGUUGGUAAGGUAAAGGCUUACCAAGGCGAUUAUCGGUAGCUGGUCUGAGAGGACGAUCAGCCACACGGGAACUGAGACACGGUCCCGACUCCUACGGGGGGCAGCAGUGAGGAAUAUUGGGCAAUGGGCGAAAGCCUGACCCAGCAACGCCGCGUGGAGGAUGAAGGCUUUAGGGUUGUAAACUCCUUUUGUGGGGGAAAAGAAUGGAUGGUACCCCAAGAAUAAGUCACGGCUAACUACGUG
rnacentral:rRNA from 1 species